GCCCGGGUGGCGGAAUUGGUAGACGCGCCAGAUUUAGGAUCUGGUGUCGAAAGGCGUGGGGGUUCGAGUCCCCCCCCGGGCACCA
rnacentral:tRNA from 2 species